GACGAACGCUGGCGGCGUGCCUAAUACAUGCAAGUAGAACGCAGUUGCGAACGGGGGAGUAACGCGCAGGUAAAUGCCCCAUAGUGGGGGAUAACUAUUGGAAACGAUAGCUACUACCGCCUACUGUAUGAUGGACCUGCGUUGUAUUAGCUAGUUGGUGAGGUAAAGUCUCACCACGGCGACGAUACAUAGCCGACCUGAGAGGAUGAUCGGCUACACUUGGACUGUGACACGGCCCAGACUCGGACGGGAGGCAGAAGUAGGGAAUCUACGGCGAGGGACGGAAGUCUGAGCGAGCAACGCCGCGUGAGUGAAGAGGGUUUACGGAUCAUAGAGCGUUGUUGUUAGAGAUGCAUUGACUGGCCAGAAAGGGACGGCUAACUACGUGCCAGCCGCGGCGGUAAUUC
rnacentral:rRNA from 1 species